rnacentral:rRNA from 1 species
AUACGUAGGUGGCAAGCGUUGUCCGGAAUUAUUGGGCGUAAAGCGCGCGCAGGCGGUCCUUUAAGUCUGAUGUGAAAGCCCACGGCUCAACCGGGGAGGGUCAUUGGAAACUGGGGGACUUGAGUGCAGAAGAGGAAAGUGGAAUUCCAAGUGUAGCGGUGAAAUGCGUAGAGAUUUGGAGGAACACCAGUGGCGAAGGCGACUUUCUGGUCUGUAACUGACGCUGAGGCGCGAAAGCGUGGGGAGCAAACAGGAUUAGAUACCCUGGUAGUCCACGCCGUAAACGAUGAGUGCUAAGUGUUAGGGGGUUUCCGCCCCUUAGUGCUGCAGCUAACGCAUUAAGCACUCCGCCUGGGGAGUACGGUCGCAAGACUGAAACUCAAAGGAAUUGACGGGG